GUUCAGGGUGGCCGAGUGGUCUAAGGCGCCAGAUUUAAGCUCUGAUUCUCUUCUGAGAGCGUGGGUUCGAGUCCCACUUCUGACA